UUGAACUGGAGAUGCAGCUUCUGGCCUAUGCCACAGCCAUGCGAGAUUUGUACCUAUGCUGGAUCUUGCGGCAAUGCCAGAUCCUUAACCCACUGAGCAAGGCCAGGGAUAGAACCUGCAUCCUCAUGGAUACUACAUAGAGUUCUUAACCCACUGAGCCACAGCAGGAACUCCUCUUCAGUGUUUUUAUAGUUUCAAAAUUAGUGGAAAGCUGAUUCUAUUUUCCUAAAUUACAGGUGUAUUAUUUGUCCCUUUAAAUUUUCCUUGAAAGCCUCUGCCAAUAAAUAAGCCUGAAUCAUUUAAAUUAUUUCUUUCUGUAUUCCUUUCAAAAAUAGAAAGGGCUUCAUUUAUGUUUGGUAGAAUCAAGACAUGAGUCAAUGUGCAUUUUUUAUUUCUACCAAAUAUUAAUGUAUGAUGCUUCAUAAAACCUGCACUAUCAGAGCCCCACCACCCAUGGAAAUAUUUACAUACAGCAGACAGAAAUCAAUUAAUGCAGAUGAUCUGUUUUUGUGUUGGACAUUGGCAAAUGAAGUACAAAUUCUGUCUGGGGUGAUAAACACCGCAUUUUCUCUUGAAAAACAGAUAAAUAAUUUUGUGUGGUAGAAGAAGUUCUAUUAAAGAUAAUUGGCUAGCUCUGAAAAAGGCAUAUGGUCAUGGGCAGAAGAAAUUUUAAAUAGGCACCUUUAAAAAACUAUUGGAGUUCCUGCCAUGGCUCAGCGGAAAUGAAUCUGACUAGCAUCCAUGAGGAUACAGGUUUGAACCCUGGCCUCACUCAGUGGGUUAAGGAUCUGCUGUUGCCAUGAGCUAUGGUGUAGGUCACAGACAGGCCUUGGAUCUUAUGUUGCUGUGGCACAGGCCAGCAGCUACAGCUCCAAUUCAACCCCUCACCUGGAAACCUCCAUAUGCUGUAGGUGCGGCCCUAGAAAGACCAAAAAAUAAAAAUAAAAAAACCAAACCAAAACCCCCUACUAAAUGGUCAUUUCUAUGUGCAUACAAAUAUGCUUUUAAAUAAUAAGGACAUAAUGGAAUAAGGUGCUUGCAAUCUGUGGUGCUUAUAUAUUUAUUUUGUAUCUUCCAUUUUCAUUACUGCAAAUACAUUCCUUUGCCAAACUCUCCUGACAGAACUUCAAAAUCUCUGCACAACCAUGUUGUAUGAAUAAUGUGUACUAUUUGAAUGAUCAUAUCAGGAGAUGCAUAGACCUGAUAGUCAUGUGUCCCUGGAUUUUUAAUAAUGAGAGGCGGGCUUGUACUGCCUAGUGUGGGCAUUUCUUAUAACACUUAACAAUUAGUCCCUAAAUGAAAUCUACAGUAGGCAACCCACCCUCUGAUUUCCAUCUCUCUCUUUCUAAACAUAAUUGCCUUCAAUUAGUUCUCAUUCUAUGGGUUUUUUUAAAUCGUGUAGAAGUGCUUCCUUUAUUGGUACAAUAUUGGAUAUCACAGUUUUAUCCUUGUAGUUGAGGUGUGUCUGUCAUAACCUUGAGAGUUUAUAGGUGUUAUACUAGCAACUGACUGCUGAUAAGUUGCUAUGUACUAUACAGCCUUAUCAAAGGCUUAGUUCUCGCUCAAAAUCUUUGCCAACCGUUUGGGCCACACUGAAUGAUUUCUUGAAUGAGUUGACUCAUCUUUGGCUGUUUUCACACACACAUACUUCUAAAAGAGAUGAGUCACCAAGAUGAGUGAACCUUGGGCACAGACUGAAGCUGUGCCAAGGUAAAUACCAAGCCAAAUAAAUCAGCAUUUCCUUCAGGGGGGUUGCCUGUGGACUAAGGAAGAAUAAGUUACACAGACACAAACGCCCUCAAAUCUCACUGAACAGAGAGGAGAGGGAAGCUCCAGGGAUGGGGAGAUCCUGACACAGCCAAUCAAAUCAUUCUGGAUUGGAAAAGCUGAGAAAAGCUAGAAGAUAGAAAAUGUGGUAAAAAUGCGUCAAGUUAAUUUCACGCUUUUCCACCUUCAACUUUUGCACAAAUUAAAUUUAAUGCUCCUCAGCCUGACUGGUCUGCAUGCAAAGUGGCAGCCCCACAGUGGUUGGGGCUGAUGGAGAUAAAAAGGGUUCAGUGUUAUUUAUAAAAUAGUAAGAAAAUAUUUGUUCUAUGAUCAGAAGUCGCUUCAUAGUAAUUAAAAUGUCCUCUCCUCCUCUCUGUAGAUGUACUGAAACUCUUGUAAUGCACACGGUAUUAACAUUAAACCCUUGACUAUUCCCCGAUAUGAGAUACCAAGUUAAGAUACCCAAAUAUUUCAAGCUCUCUUAAUUUCCAUUUUAACAUAGAGGUGAGGAAUUUUGUUCAUUAGACGAUUAUCUUUGGCACUUCCCUGUUCUCUUUAAAAUUUAAAUUUUAAAUUGGCGACUGUCAUAAUGUAAGUGUUCUAAUAAAGCUCCAUACAUAGGACAGGGAGAUGUGGUGUGUGCAUGGCCUGUAAUAGAUGUUAACUAGAUCUUAACUAGACUUACUGGGGUGAUCAUUCUGCAGUAUAUACAAAUAUCAAAUCAUGAUGUUGUACAUCUGAAAUAUAACAUUACAUGCAAUUACACUUCAUUUUUUUUUUUAAAGACUAAAACUCCACAGGACAAGGAGAUACGGUGUUGUGCAUGGCCUGUUCCAUAUCUGAAAACAGACACUUCUGUAAUAUUCACUAAAACGGCUGACACCAGUCUUCACCUAAGAUGAACAAAUCUGAAUUAACCAUAGCCCCACAAGACAACUCUCAACAGUAAUAGUGUCUGACCUGUAAAUAUCUAUGAGAAAAUCAUACACCAAUGUAUCCUGUCUUUCCUCUCCUAUUUCUCUGGCCUUAUUUACCAAGGAGCUCUGAAGAGUCUGGAGGCUUAAGAAGUCUGCAUCUUCUAGAUCUGUUCCCUCAGGAAUGAGGAAAUGAUGGAAACCCACAGAAAACAUGUACGUUAUAAAAGCUGAGGGGAAGAGUUCCCGUUGUGGCUCAGUAGUAACAAACCUGACUAAUGUCCAUGAGGACGCAGGUUUGAUCCCUAGCCUCACUCAGUGAGUUAAAGAUUGAGUGUUGCUGUGAGCUGGGGUGCAGGUCACAGACACAGCUCGGAUCCUGUGUUGCUGUGGUUAUGGUGUAGGCCGGCAGCUGCAGCUCCAAUUUGACCCCUAGCCUAGAAACUUCCACAUGCUGUGGGUGCUAGCCUAAAAAGACAAAAAAAAAAAAAAAACUGAGGGGAAAAAAUCUAGGGCCAAUGAAGGAACCUGGCAGAGUUGUCAAAAACAUAUUUGUUUUGUCCAUUUCUCAUUCGUCUGAAUUAACCUACUCCUUCACUUCAACACGCCCAGAAUGCGUUUUCUCUAUCUUAAAAUAUGACUAUGUUCCUAAUAACUUUUUUUUAAAAUAUAUUUUAUUGGAGUAUGGUUGACUUAGAAAGUUGUGUUAAUUUCAGGCACAUAGUAAGUAUAAACAGUUAUAUAUGUACAUAUAUCCAUUCAUUUUCAGAUUCUUUACCCAUAUCCUAAUAACUCUUUACCACAGCCAUGCCAGAUCUGAGCUGCGUCUGUGACCCGUUACACCACAGCUCACCGGCAGCACUGGAUCCUUAACCCACUGAGCAAGGCCAGGGAUUGAACCUGUAUCCUCAUGGAUACUAGUCAGAUUCAUUUCCAUUGAUACAAGAUGGGAACGUCCUUAUCCUAUUAACUCUUGAAGGAAACUCUUCCCAAGAGUCAAACCCACUGGCUCUGGGAUAGUGAGUUAAAGCCAAAGUCAAGAGGUUGCAUUUUUGCUGGUCGCCCUCACUGGGUUGGGCUUACCUUGCUAUGAUGUUACUCUUUGUUGAGGUAGAAGAAGUAGUGAGACUUUUUUUUUUUUUUAAUUUAAAUUUUUCCCGGUCUGGGAAUGGAUAUAAGGGCAUUAGAGAUGCAAAUGCAGACACUGGGUUGGUAGCCAUCAUUCUGUCUCCUCAUUCAUUGCAAAGUCAUUCUUACAAGGAAAGGAGAGGGCAGUGACGCCUACUAAACUGCACCACAAGGAGAAGGUUGAGGAGAGGUAAGAGGAUGUAUGAUUACUUCAAACUAAACUAAACCUUUUUUCCUAGAUGAUGCUUAAGAGUGUCUUGAUAAUUUUGUUUACUGUAAAAUCGCUAUAAAGUAUGACUUGAAUCUUAAAGAUGUCAUCUGUUCAAUAGGAAUUAUAGGGCACACAUACAUGCUUGCCUUGAGCAAUCUUAGGAAUGUGUGGGAAAAAAAAUUUUCUUUAAUCCAAGCAAAGUAUCAUUGAGAAAUAUUUUUUUAAAAUUUUCAGGGGAAGGAUCAAGAUGGUGAAGGAAUAAGACAUGGCAUUCACUUUCUCCCACAAACACACAAAAAAAUUUCCCUUUCAUUUUUUUUUCCCUAAGCCUUCCCCUGAAAUCUCACAGCUAACACCCAGGUUUUCUCUGCUGGAAUCCCUCCCUUUCCGGCCCCUUGGUCUGUAGCAACACUCUCUUCCUUCCCCAUCCUCACUGCUACAUCGUAGACUGGUGGCCCCUUAAUCAUCUUUUUAAAAGGUGCUCAGAUACCUCUGUGAAACCUUACCUGUCUCAGAAGAGUUAGGUGCCACCUCAUUUGUGCUCCCAUGAAACCCUUCCAUGACCAUUUAGCUAAUUGCACUGUGGGCAGCUGCUCACAUCUAUUUCUCCCACUGGACUGUAAUAUCCUUCAGGGCAUGACUGUGCCUUUGUUAACUUUGUAUCACUAGAGUCCCACCUAGUACCUAGACACUCCAUGAAUGUUUGAUAAAUGAAUGAAUCAAGAGUAGGAUAAAAGAGAGGAAAGCAGAGUAUAGCAUAAAAGAAUUAGAGCAAGCA
rnacentral:lncRNA from 1 species